AUUUGCAUCCGUCGCAUCCAGCCGAGCCCUUGGAUCUUGCGACUCGAAAAGCGGUCCGGCAGGAUCUAAUCCUACACACAAACAUACGAACGCGCUAUGCAAUCAUUGCAGGUUUAUGGCACACGGUUACAAAGAUGUACGACGAACUCUUCGGACGAACCGCAGACUUGGCCGUUUCCUGCCGUCAUUCCUGAUCGUCUCGAGCCACCGGACCGGGUUAAUGUCCGUGUCUUUGCGGGCCACACGAAGCCGGCUCGAUUGGGUCGACGAACAUGUCCUGAACUUACGACCCAGAUCUGACCGAAGCCACGGCAAAGUGGAAGAAAGAAGCGGUAGGUACUGGGACGCUAUCAUAACGAAUCUAUGACGAAACCAAGACGGCUCGCAGAGGCCGCUUAAUGAAGCCAUGGGAAUGAGUCGGCAAGCUGAUUUACAUGCAUUCUCGUGGCUCGCGGCAAUAACGCGUGACCGGUUCGUUGAGGCGCUCGUUUCGGGCGGGGAAAGGCGAGAAAACGAGCAACAAUCGCUAUAUCUUCGAUCUGCUGUCAAACUGGUCUAUCGGAUCAGACGGGAGAAAUUGGCAAAAGGAAAACCGCGAGGAGAGCCCCGGGAGAUCCCGAUCGGCAGAGUGCGAGCAUCAUCGCCGCCGAUGGUCACUUAGGCGAACGCGCCGUUUGACUUUUUGUUCGUUAGAGCUGCUCCACAAAACGAGCAGUAGAUGAGCGAGGGAGAGCGGUGGAAAAGGGAAAUCAUCGAUGUCGAAGAUGGAGCGAGGAAAUUAGUCGCAGCAACAAUGCAGUUUAUUUUCUUAAUGAGCAAUGCUAAUUGACUCAUUCGUUUGGAGAAAUGAAAUAGAAACCAGUCUUGAUCGUAUCUUUUACGAAAAUCUAUUGAGACAAGUGGAAUCGUAAAAAGAUUACUCAGAAGACAUUGGACUUUCAAUUGGAAAUUGUUAAUUAAUAAGGUAUCAUUAGAUUUAUCUGAUAAACACGCAACGAUGCCACACACGGCAGCAAUUGUCUCGCGAAUCAUUCUUGGGGAACCGCUCCGUAAUACGCGUCUUCCGUCAUUCGUAAUAGAUCGUUUUCCCGUCUAUUUAUCAAAUUGACAACUAAAGAAAGGCGUGUAUAGGCCAUUAGCAGUGAAAUCGAUUGUUUCUACUAUUAUGUGUCUUUCAAGAAAUCCGCACGAUAUUGUUAAUUAAUUUGUUAUUGAAUUAUUGCAUUGACGCGAUUGAAGUUUCCGUGCUUAAUUAUCGUGUGAAAUCUUAUCAGAGAUAUACUUAGUUUCAUAGAAAGGUAUCGUAUACAAGGCGUCCCAGAUUCGCCGCCUUUCCCUUUAAUGGAAGUGACCCGAGACUAAACUAAUUACACGAGGAGCUGCAUCUGUAAAUGUCGAGAUACUUUUUUUUUUUGUUAUCACAGUAACAAAGUAUGUAUGUACAUCUCGGUUAAUUUCGGGAUAACGGAAGUUUAAUUCGGGCGGCAUCUGGGCAGCGACCGUUUCUUCGUAAUAGAUCGAUACCGGUCGAUUCACGGCGUGAUGACCGCGCGAAAUUCCUAAUUGGGAUUAGGUGAACGACGGCGCGAACGAGGUGGAGCGAGCUUAACGGUACGUCACGGCACGGCCCCGCACCGUGAACGGCUUGCUUUACAACGGGACCCGGCAGGUGUUCCUUUUGUGCUCUUACCGGCACAGACGUAACGAGAAAAUCUAACAUUGCACGUCCAGACGCGUAACCGUCAGAGUCGACAGGUCCUUAACACAAAUCUCUCGCGUGAGCGGAUCGCGUCAGAAGCGGCGCAUUUAUGAGCGCGUCAUUAGGAGCGCAGGCACGCGAUUCAUUGAUCAUUUCGACACCAUCGAUUGCCGUCCUUGGAAAGCGAAACGUGUCGUACGAGCUCGCCUUUCGAUGUUAGUCAAUCAAUUUUAGACCGCUGAAUUCUUGAUAGAAUAAUACGAAAGCGGCUUGUUUUGAGGAUAAGAGGAUAAAAGUUUGCGUAACAUUUAAUAAUGUUCUGUAAUGCUAAUACAUCAGGCAGAUUACUAAAAUUUUUGACGUUUAGAAAGUUUACUGCGGUUUACACAGGUAUGGGUUUCGUAAUUUAUCUUUUUUGCUGAAUAUUUAGUUCAUUUUUUUACUUGUAAUUGAUAACUAUGUAAAAGUAUAAGUGUACAAAUACUUCUAAUCAUAAAAAAAUCGACUAAAGGAAGUCAUUUAUUUUCUCCUUUAAUAUUUAAUUCACUUAUGUUUGAUUGAUAAUUGUGUGUAAAAGUAUGGGCGCGCGAAUAUCUCCGCCGAGAAAGGUCGGACGGAAAAUUGACUAAAGAAUCUCGGUGAAAAAAUAACGCGGUGUAAGUGGGGCACUAUGCGCGCGGAUAACUGUGUUACAAAAUCGAGAAUAUUCAAAUGAGAACUGUCAUCAGCCAAAUAAUGGGAAUGACACGACUCGAAUGCUCAGCGGUUCACGACGGGAAUAAUUACGCGACGGGUUCGUGUGGCAUUCUGUGCGACCGAUCCAGGCCACGAUCGUAAUCCCGCGUCGCGUGAUCUCGUUCUCAGCACGGUCGGUCUCUGUAAUUUCUGAGCCGCCUGCGCCGGCUGUCAUCGAGAGAUUAUUCGCCAGCAUUUCCGCGAUCUCUGUGCCUGAGACAAUGAUCGGCGUCAGCGCGUUUCCGCGCGGUGCAUCGCUCCGCUCGCCAGCCACGUGUUCCACGAUGAGAACCCGGGACGGUCGCGAUGGGAGAAGGGUCGAGACUGGUAGCAAAAUCGGCUAGUGACACAGUUUCCAGAGGCUCGAGGUGAGUGAACUCGGACAUAAACGAGCUGACACCUUCUCGCUGGGAAUACACCUGGCCACCUCUCUCGUCGGAAUUUAAUUAAACUAGAUCUACCCAGUCUUUGUUUGCGGAUUUAUUAAGUAAUUUCGACAGAACAUGUUCUACAAACACAAUACCCACUUUUUAAAGUACACUUUGCUUACUAGUACAAGAGAUCUUGCUCUAUUAGUAAUCUGCAUUCGAUUUCUCCUUAGCGCGAUAUUCCGUUUUGUAAUUAUUAGCUCUUCGAUGAGUCAUUUUGACAUAAGAAAUUUAGCUCUCGGAAGCUGAACAAUCGCGGCCAACUAAGAUUACACUUCAAAAAAUUAAUUAAAAAUUUCACAAGAAUCGAUGCUUAAAUUUUUGCUUAUACUUGUAAUUUUUCCACGAAUUUUUAUAAAAGUAAAGCAUGGAAAAUAGAACGGUAAGAAAGAACGUUUUGAACUACUUGUGGACCAUAUGUUGUAAUGCUUUGUUACGUGGUUACGUUAAAAUACCGUUAUUAAGGUUUUGAUGUGAUGCGCCUUAUGAGCAUCGCACAUCUGCAUGCAAACGUUCCGAUUACGCCUUCGCCCAUUAAUGGAACGUUUUUAACUUACAUGCGCUAGCAAAUGCGGGCCAUGUACAUCACCUGCUACCGAGCAAGGCCUGGUUUUUUUAAAUGUAGACAUUGUGUCUUGACGACUUUGAACUUUGCACGUUUGUGUUUGAAUAAAAAAAAGCCAAUUAAAAUCACCGCACUUGACAUAUUUAUAUUUUUGCAGUGAAAAAAAAAACGAACUUAUGUAAAUCGCAAAAUAAAGCAAA
rnacentral:lncRNA from 1 species